rnacentral:rRNA from 1 species
GGACGAACGCUGGCGGCGUGCCUAAUACAUGCAAGUCGAGCGGACAGAAGGGAGCUUGCUCCCGGAUGUUAGCGGCGGACGGGUGAGUAACACGUGGGUAACCUGCCUGUAAGACUGGGAUAACUCCGGGAAACCGGAGCUAAUACCGGAUAGUUCCUUGAACCGCAUGGUUCAAGGAUGAAAGACGGUUUCGGCUGUCACUUACAGAUGGACCCGCGGCGCAUUAGCUAGUUGGUGAGGUAACGGCUCACCAAGGCSACGAUGCGUAGCCGACCUGAGAGGGUGAUCGGCCACACUGGGACUGAGACACGGCCCAGACUCCUACGGGAGGCAGCAGUAGGGAAUCUUCCGCAAUGGACGAAAGUCUGACGGAGCAACGCCGCGUGAGUGAUGAAGGUUUUCGGAUCGUAAAGCUCUGUUGUUAGGGAAGAACAAGUGCAAGAGUAACUGCUUGCACCUUGACGGUACCUAACCAGAAAGCCACGGYUAA